UUAGUUGCCUUGCACAAAUGAACUAGAUACAAGCGAGCGGCGACGGGGUGAGUAACACGUGGGUAACCUGCCCAAGAGACUGGGAUAACACCUGGAAACAGAUGCUAAUACCGGAUAACAACACUAGACGCAUGUCUAGAGUUUGAAAGAUGGUUCUGCUAUCACUCUUGGAUGGACCUGCGGUGCAUUAGCUAGUUGGUAAGGUAACGGCUUACCAAGGCAAUGAUGCAUAGCCGAGUUGAGAGACUGAUCGGCCACAUUGGGACUGAGACACGGCCCAAACUCCUACGGGAGGCAGCAGUAGGGGAAUCUUCCACAAUGGACGAAAGUCUGAUGGAGCAACGCCGCGUGAGUGAAGAAGGGUUUCGGCUCGUAAAGCUCUGUUGGUAGUGAAGAAAGAUAGAGGUAGUAACUGGCCUUUAUUUGACGGUAAUUACUUAGAAAGUCACGGCUAACUACGUGCC
rnacentral:rRNA from 1 species